rnacentral:lncRNA from 1 species
CGGCAAGGGAACCGGAGGUUCGGUCAACGACGGCCAUCCUUAGCCACAAUGACGAGUGACACGACCCGGGCGAUAGGUAUGGUCCCUUGCGCUUCGCCAUUUCUUUCCCCCGCCGGCAUGAUCUUCUCCAUUUCAUCACUAAUCAUGGUAGUUCCUAGCGUUGGAUGAUUAGAUCCGGGAGCAAAUCCAUAGUCUACAUGAGUUCUGCUUGAAUUUAUGCAGUGGGUUUGACUUGAGCCGCCACCCCCUUCAUGUCCCCAAUUGAAGUAGAGUUUCACCUAGGGUUUGUUUGUUAGAUCUCAUGAACUCGAUUCCCAGUUGUUGCUAGGCUUUAUAGUCGAGAUUUGGGUAGUAGAGGACGAGAUUUUAGAAGUGUUGUUGAGUUUUUAGAUGUAGGGAUGAUUUUCUCAGUUCUGAUGCUACUAUUUGGUCAUCCAAGUCAUGCAUGUUGGAUCCUGCAUGCUACAAUGUGGUUUAGAUCAUGAUUUUGGACUUGGAAGGCAUGGUACUCAGAUGAUUAUUGUCUGUUAUAUUUCUGUAUUCAUACAAUUUUUUUAUCUUACCGUAUUCUUUUUCAUGCAUUUGUUCAGCUAUUUUGUUGAGCUAUUUUGAACUCUCUGUGUCGUGCAUCUAAU